rnacentral:lncRNA from 1 species
AGGAAGAAAAGGAAGAGAAAGGGGAGGAGGAGGAAAAGGAAGAGGAGGGAAAAAAAAGAAUAAUAAAAAGAAAAGAAAAGAAAAAAGAAAACGAAGGAGGCGGCGGCGGCGAGUUGAGCGAGCUGCCCCUAGAUGGCUCUGUGAGCGGCCGGCGUGUUUGGCGGGAGCGAAGGCGCGUCGUCUGCCAGUGUGAGGUUGGCGUCCGUGCGAGAGGGAUGUAGCACGCGUCUCCCCUGACACCCCGUGAUAUACGUGACACUCUCUUGCCCCCCCUCGUGUGUGUGAAAUUUCGCCGAUCUCGUGGAUAUCCAUCGAUAGCUUCGAGAGAAUAAGAAAUUUAGGAAAGAGAGAUUAGAAAAGAAAAUAGAAAGAAAAAAGUGAAAGGAAAAAGUUGUGUGAAAAACGAACCACUGAAUUUUCGAACCGAAAACGAAAAAAAAAACGAAAAAAAAAGAAAAAAAACUCUGGAAACAGAAAAAUCUUUGUAAUUAAAUCUGUGAUUCGUAAUAAUAG